rnacentral:tRNA from 1 species
ACCCAGCUAGCUCAAUAGGAAGAGCAUGUGACUCUUGAUCUUGGGGAUGUGAGUUCGAGCCCUAUAUUGGGUG